rnacentral:lncRNA from 1 species
CACAUGUUGAGGACCUGGCAGCCCACUUUCGGGGAGCUGAACCCGGUCGCGUGGGCCACGACCUCGACUUCCCUCAUCGUCCGAUCUUUCCCUCCUGGAGGCAACGCCAGCAUGACCAUAUCGGAAGUGAAUGUGGCCCGGGUCACUAGGUCCGUCCCUGGGUAUUCCGGGCUGACUGGGUCUAUGACCACCACCUUGCCCGAUGCCGGCAAUGCCUUCCAGCAUCUCUUCAGGAGCUGUAUGACGAAAUCAUCCGCGAAACUAUGGAAUUGCCACUGCAAAAAAACAGCAAACAAUCAAAAUCAAUUAAGACUCCCGAUCGCCAAUCUGUCCUAAACAAAAUGCUCGUACAUUGGAACUGUCUUAAGCUAUGUCCGUUAAUGCAAAAUCAGUUGACAUCAAUUACAGAAAUCAUGUUCAAAUAAAUUAUAAGCUACGUAAUUUUGCACGUUUCUUUUCAUUUCAUUUCCGGGAGCUUGAGUACUAAACAGUUAAUCCAAAGUAACCUUCGCUAAGAGGAUGUCUCCUUUUGGGAUGGGAUCAUCCACAAAGCUCCCUCCUACAUGCUCCAAACCUGCCAUAAAAAACUAGUUGUCUCAUUUCGUCGUCAUUGCUUCAUAAGACAUCCUUAGAAGGGCCAACUGUAUAUAGGCGACAUAAUUAUAGGAAGAAGGCAAUCAACAGGUAUGGAGCAAACGAGGUGUUUUUAACAUGAAUUGAAAUGAAUUAGAAAGGUUUGAUCCGUUGAGAGAAUUAAUCUAUGCAGCAUAAUUUUCAUUGAACUUUGUUUGUUUAUGGAGGAAGAAGGAAAUUUUAGUUCGAAAAUCAAUUACCGGGAUGAGAAAGCCCAUUUUUGACAACAUGGGGUAGGUCGAAGUUUAUGCCCCGGAGGUGGUGGUGCUUGGAGAGUAUAAGCUUAAGGCAUUCGCCAACACCGCCGCCAACGUCGACAACUGUUUUGGCAUUCUCGAAUCCAGGGUAAGUGUCCAUGAAUUUGCCCAUGAAAAUGGUAGACAUACACUUCAUGGCAUUGUUGAAGUAGCUGUUGUACCUCGGGUCUGUCCCGGUGUAGUCAAAGAGGGUCGUACCGUUCGCCAGCUUGAAAGGGUCGCCUUCUCCCUCAAUCACUGCAUCUUUUAAGUAAAACCUGCAGAGCAAGCAUUCAUGUACAAACCCCAAUUAAUAACGUUUCCGUCUUGUGAUAAAAAAGAUCUUCACUCUCUAAUAUUGUCAAUAAUGCACAGACAGCUAUAUAUAUGUGAAGAUGACUCAUGUUGAUGUGCUUGAUGCAUUUAAUAGUCAUCACAUUACUUCUUCGAAAUGUUUUACGGCAUUCUCAUAUAUUCAACAAAACUGAAAUUUAACUUCAAGUAUCAAGCUAAUCAAUUUUGCACGAAAUGGGAACGGGAUAUUAUUGCAUGAACUUAACUAGCGAACAUGGUGAGUCCCACAUAAUGUGACUGUCCGAAUUCAUUUAUUUACGUACCAUGAUCUCAAGGAAACCUCGUCAAAGAGCAUAAGCAACCAGGGCGCCAUGCUAGCCCCUUCCUCAUUCACGUAGUACUUGCUCAAGGGGCCCAGGCUAUAAAUCCUCUCAGGCCGCCCGGCUUUGUCCUGCGUGAGGGUGCACGAGAGGAAAGAGAAGCUGGCGAGCAAACGCAGGAUGCGGUCGAUGGCAACACCGGCAUCAGGGUUCUUGAUGGAGAGGCGGGACGCGAUCUGAGUGGGCGAGAGCUGAGCAGAGCUCUCGGACAAGAGCUUGAGGAUGCCGAGCUCGAUGGUGGCCUUCAAGAUCAGGGGAACGCACGAGAUCAUGUUUUGUUUGAUAGCGGACAAGUACUCUUCGUCUUCUUGGGCGGUAGUGACCGCUAGGGUUUCGGCCGAACUCAUGUUUCCUGAAUUUUUUUCUUUCUCAGGUUCUUUUCAAUUUUGCACAGUAGGAGAGAUUGCGCUUUGUAGUGGGAAGUUGAGAGGACUAAGACGUUGUUUGAAAAGAGCGCAACGAUGGAGCCGCUUUUAUAAGGUAACUGAUGAGCUGUGUGUCAUGCUAGGUUUCACAGGUUCUUUAUUUUUUCUAUAGAAAAAAUAGCCCUCAUCACCCUACCAUAUUCCGAGAUUUUACACACGGAAGAGUCACAGAGUACGAGAUUCGGAUGGAUAUGUACGGUUGUUACCCUUGAAAAAUCAUUAAAAGAACUCGCUUUCUGCUAAGGAGAGAACGGGUGGCAUAGCUCUACAUAAGUUUUAGUGAAAUGCCAAUACCUUACCAAAGAAAAUAGGCUGCCUAUUAUACCCACCAGAUCUUGUCCAAUGUUGUAGUUAUCAUUAUCAUGCUAUACCAAAUACCGCUGAUCUACGACGGAAAGAUAGAAAGUAUCGCAGCCACUGGAUCAAAUGCAAACCUCUCCUUUUCUUCCACCAACUACUCUAAUGACACGUUCCUAUGGGUUGGUACGAUAAUAGAUUAUAUUGUCCUGCUUCAAGAGUAUACCCUAAAAGUUUAGUAAGAAAGAAAAUUAUGUGCCCAAAUUCUAGAAAAUUGUUUGAACUAUAACUGAUAAGUAGUAGUUAUUUAAUUGUGUAGAUUCUAGUUCUACAUAUAUUUUGCUAUCUUUAACAAACAAUUGCUUUUUACCUCGUAUUAGAAUAAAGUUUGGUAAGCAUAACUCCACGAUUUCUCAGCAUAGCGUUUAGCAUUUUAUGAUUUUCUAUUGACCCAUAAAUACAUAGACACGCAUAUGUUUCAAACUAGAUACGAUUUAAAUGAUACUAAGCCAACUUUAUGGGCGGUUGCAUCUUAUUCUUCACUUUCAGCAUUUUCAAUCUCUAGAUGGUAACAUUUGUACAAUCUUAUUCCCUUACAAUGCACGUCGCGGGUGAAUUGAUCAAUCACUAUGGGGGAAAAUUAUCUAAAAAAUCCUAAACCUAUUUUGCAACCAGCAUCCUAUGUGAUAUGGUUAGAUGAAAAAGGAAAGAAAUAAAAGCAAAAGAAAAAUUCGAAAAUAUCAUUAAAAUAUUUUGAAAAUUUUAAGAAAAUAUAUAAUUGUCCAUUCCGGUGCUGACCUUGCCAUAUAAGAUGGCUGACAUCGACUAGACAAUCAAGUCGGCAAUUUCCAACCAAAAUUGGCUAGAAAGACUAAAUUGACAAAUUGUUAAAAUGUUCAUGACUAGAUUAGUAAAUCAUCAAAACAUUUAGAACUAAAUUAAAAUAAGUAUAAAGUUUGUGACCAAACUAGUGAGUUGCUGACAUAUUUGGCACUAGAUUGGUAAAAUUGAAUUAACUAUCGUACAAUAGGUUUAUGAUUUUUGAAUAAUUUUUCAAUUCACUUGAGAACCUUAAAUAGGUUAAGAACCUUGAAGAGCCUACAGACCUAUAUAAGGAUAUUCUCACAUGUUUCGUUCCACAGCCGCCCUCACCUAUAGAACCUUGUAGCCGUCAUUCAACAACCAAGAUAACCUACUUGUCCCCAACCUGAAUAGCCUCUAGAUGGUAACAUUUGCACAAUCUCAUUCCCUUACAAUGCACGUAGCGGGUGAAUUGAUCAAUCACUAUGGGGAAAAUUAUCUAAAAAAUCUUAAACCUAUUGUACAACCAGCAUCCUAUGUGAUUCGGUUAGAUGAAAAGGGAAAGAAAUAAAAGAAAAAGAAAAAAUCGAAAAUGUCAAUAAAAUAUUUUGAAAAUUUUAAGAAAAUAUAUAAUUGUCCAUUCCGGGCUGACCUUGCCAUAUAAGAUGGCUGACGUCGACUAGACAAUCAAGUCGGCAAUUUUCAACCAAAAUUGGCUGGAAAGACUGAAUUGACAAAUUAUUAAAAUGUUCAUGACUAGAUUAGUAAAUCAUCAAAACAUUUAGAACUAAACUAAGUAUAAAGUUUGUGACUAAACUAGUGAGUUGCCUACAUAUUUGGCACUAGAUUGGUAAAAUUAAAAAGUUUAAAAUUGAAUUAACCGGCGUACAAUAGGUUUAUGAUUUUUGAAUAAUUUUCCAAUUCACUUGAGAACCUUAAACAGGUUAAGAACUUUGAAUAGCCUACAGACAUAUAUAAGGAUAUUCUCACAUGUUUCGUUCCACAACCGCCCUCACCUAUAGAACCUUGUAGCCGUCAUUCAACAACCAAGAUAACCUACUUGUCCCCAACCUGACUAGCCUAUGGCGCUGCCCCUAAUCUUCUCAUCAAAUAUAUAAUUAUAUAAAUAUCCACAUAUGUCGAAUGAAGUCUCACAUUUAUGGUGCCAAACUAGGGCCCCCUAGAUUAGAUUAAGUGGGAAAACAUAGUUGAUUUUGAACAAGGAUCGUUCACAGCCAAAGAAAUCGCUCCUACAUGUGACAAGUCAACCUUCUUUUACAUUUGUAUUUUUCUUUCACUGAUCCUAAUCUCAUGGUACACGCACUUUGACUAUUAUUUAACUCACGACGUUUAUGACAUAAGUUCAGUUAUAAUUUAUUUAUUUUUUAAUUUCGACUAUGACGAGAAUUAAAGAAAAAAUACUUUUGCUUUAAGUGGAAACAAACUAGCUCAAAAGGUAGGAUUAUGUAGAUUGGCAAGCUUGCAGGAAGAUUCAAUAUGAAAUUAGAUUAAAGGGCAAAAAUUUGACCCAAAAAAAAAGAGAUUAAAGGCCAAAAAGGGGAAAAUCAAAGAGGUAUAUAUAAAUAUUUUGACUAGACUGAUUUUCUUAAAAACACUCAAACAAUUUAAUCCGCAUAUAACAAACAAGGAUUUUGCUAUAUCAUGCAGGUUUUGACCAUCUCAAAGUUACAUUGAAUGGUUAGAUCGUGAUUUUGAAUAACAGAUGUGUCAUGUCCAUAUCAAUUACUCAUGUAUACGACUUGACUUUCAAUAAUUAAGUCAACUCCUGGGAUUAAAAAUUAGGGUUGCUAUGAGAAAUCAUUUCUUUCUCGAUUGCUCAAGAAGGUGCAAUACAUCUGUUCGGCGGUUACAAGAACGGCCGAGAAGUGAACAGUUCCAGAUAAUUAUUCAUUCGACAUCUUGAUAGCUCAAGCGCCCACAUGUUGAGGACCUGGCAGCCCACUUUCGGGGAGCUGAACCCGGCCGCGUGGGCCACGACCUCGACUUCCCUCAGCGUCCGAUCUUUCCCUCCUGGAGGCAAUGCCAGCAUGACCAUAUCGGAAGUGAACGUGGCCCGGGUCACUAGGUCCGUCCCUGGGUAUUCCGGGCUGACUGGGUCUAUGAUCACCACCUUGCCCGAUGCCGGCAACGCCUUCCAGCAUUUCUUCAGGAGCUGUAUGCCAAACUCGUCCGUGAAACUAUGGAAUUGCCACUGCAAAAAAACAGCAAACAAUCAAAAUCAAUUAAGACUCCCGAUCGCCAAUCUGUCCUAAACAAAAUGCUCGUACAUUGGAACUGUCUUAAGCUAUGUCCAUUAAUGCAAAAUCAAUUAAAAUCAAUUAGAGAAAUCAUGUUCAAAUGAAUUAUAAGCUACGUAAUUUUAC